AUCACCGAAGUCAAGCAUCAUCGGGCGCGGUCAGUUCUUGGGUGGGUGACCACCUGGGAACACCGCGUGCCGUU